rnacentral:lncRNA from 1 species
AAAAAGCAUGUGAUUAUUUUUUACUCUUAAAAAAAUGUCACUAAAUAAGAUAAGGAGACUUGGCUUUGCCCUAUCUUGGGCUCCACAUGUCCUGUUUCUCACUGAGAGACCCUGGCAAGGAGUUUCUCAGUGACAAAGAAAUGGUUUCUUCUCCUCUAGUUCUGAGCUAUAAACACCUUCUCUAAUCGACAUAGAAACGGCUAAGCAGUAGAUAUUUUCAGUCAGAGUACCCCAGUUUUAGUCAUAAAUUAUAUGCCUCUCCUUUUGGAAAUAUAAGGGGUAUAAUUUUUAUUCUUGGGCAGACAUAGUCCUGUGCCCGAUACCUUAGGAAAGAGCCAAAAAGAGAAUGUGGACACAGCUUGUCAUGGUGGAUGGAGAGGAAGGAGACACCAGGGGUAGGGACUCUGUAUUCUGAAGCUCUGAGGCCACAGGAUGAAAAAUCAGAGCCAAGUGAAUGCCUUCUCUGCCUCUCCAAUCCAUGCCAACCCAGGGCUGGCUGCUCACAUGGGGUCUGCACAAACUUGAAAAUCUCCAGAUGUUUUAUAGGGGGGACAAAGCCACGCUUUCUGCUGCAACAGACUGUGAGACUUUUAGGAUGCUCACCCCAAGGCCCUUGAAAAAUGAGAGAGGGGUCUGAUUCUUUGAGAUGGGUAAGGCAGAGGCACCCCGUGGAAGUCAAGCAUUCCUUCUCUCUUCCCUCCCAAGGCCAGCAUGUAAUUUCAAAUGUCCAGUCCAUCCAUGAACAAUAUGUUAGCCUUUGGCCAGGCGGUGAGCUUCCAAAAUGCAAACAUCUCAGCCUCUGUCUGCAGAGGUGAGAAUUCAGCUUGGCAGAGGAAUGGGACACUGUCAAGGAAGACAAGCUUUUGGAGUCAGACAAUCCCAGGUUUGCAUAUUGGCCUUGUUUUGUUGGUUUGUUUUGCUUUGUGUUAAAAUCUAAUUUAUUCUGCAAACUACAGCAGGUUAGUUAAUCCUUUGAAACCUCAGGUUUCUGAGCUAUAAUACAGGAAUAAUUAUAAGUGCUUUGCAGCAGAUUUGUGAGGAUUCUGAGAGUUGUUGGAUGUGUCUAGCACAUUCCUUCUAACUUAUAAAGCAUUAUAUGCCAAGUAUGAAUCUAAGUAAUGCACAUGCCCUAAUCUUUUCCAUCCUUACAACUAUUUAUAGCACUGCCCCCAUAUGGCAAAUGAAGGCUCAGAGAGGUCAAGGCACCUGCCCACAGUCACAAAGUCAGUAAGCAGCUGAUUCUGGAGCUGGUGCUCUCACCACAGGGACUGCUAUAUACCCAUAGUGGAAGCCUGGGGCUAGGAAUGAAGAUCUGUGUUCAUUCAUUCAUUCAUUCAUUCAUUCAACAAUUCACCUGGGCAUCUCUGAGAGAGGAUUACUCACAACAGGUUCUCAGACAAAAAAAAAAAUACAAUCUCUCCUUCCAGGAGUUGAAGAUCUCUCAGGGGAAACAGACAAGUACCCAAAACUAAAUCAAGGUAGAAUAUGACACCAGGGAGGAAGAGAGUAUGGCAGAGGACCUGUUAAAUGGCAGGAACAGACUGAUUUAAUGAAGGUGGUGGUAUUUCUGCUGAGCCUCAAAGGAUAGGCAUGAUUUUGACAGAUGCACUCAGCCUGGUUCAGUCCAAAUUAGGGCCCCCUUGUUCUUUCUCAUCACAACCCAUUCAUUUCCUUUGUUGGACUCACUGUGAUUUUAAUUUCACAGCUAUUUGCUGAUUUAUUUGUUCAAUGCUGGUCUCCCACACUAGACCAUGAGCAGGAAGGAGAGGCAGCAUGCAACUGUGCUCGUUGUCUACACAGGGCCUAGCACUGGGCCUGGGCCAGGGCAGGCACCUGGGAGGGCCUUGGUUUCUGAGGCUGAGAGAGGAUAAGCUAAGCAAGGGGCAGAACAGGACACCAACCAUCUCCAGACCCCAGUACAACACAGAUGGCAGGCCAAAGAGGGACUGUGUCGUCUGAUUCAAGAGUACAGACUACACAGCCAGAAUAAUCGGGGCCUGGCUUGGACUCUCUUUAAAUAUUCAUUCCUCAUCUGUAAAAUGAGCAUAUGAGUCCCACUUCACCAGACUGUAGGACAUACGUGAAGGACUCUGCAGUGUCUGGAACAUAUUUAUGGCCCCUGAAAUAAACAGUUAUUGAUGACAGAGAUGAAAAGAAGAAGAUCCAAUGGAGUAAUCUUCAAGGCCUGCUUCAAGUCUUGCCUUGAUUGCUGCAAGAGAGAAGGUCACCUAUCUCCCCAGGUAGCCUCUCUCACCCUGACAAUGUAUCUUCACAGGUAAGGGACAAAGACAAGACUAGAAAUCAUCCCUCUGCCCACCUCAAGACAAAUGCAGAUCUGACUUCUUCUUCCUCUACUCUAUGUUUACUUUAUCUUAUGUAAAAUACAAGAUUUACUGAGCAGGAGCCGAAUGCA